rnacentral:lncRNA from 1 species
CCUUAUUAUUUAUGUAAUAAAACCUACAAUUGACUUUCCUGAGACUUGUAGCAUUCCUUAGACAGGGGAUACCUGCCUUCUGAAACACUGCUCAGAGAAACUGGAGCAAAUAUGCUAUUUUUGAGAUUUAGUCGCCUAUGGGAAGAAAAUCAAAAUUUUAAAUUAGGAAACACUCAGUGGAUUCUGUAAGUUUCUUCAUGGAUAUGCAGAUGAUGAAACUGAAGGGGAGAGAGUGAUUUUCUUAAAAUUGGUAUUCUGAAAUUUAAUGCAGUACUUAUGAAGUCUUUUAUACACUGCCAUUGGAAUGAGUCACUGGACUGUAUUCACCUAAAGUUCAGGUCUGGUCAACAUUUUAGACCCAAAGGUCAACAAACUAUGUAGAUUUGACCCAGAUAACAGAUGCAGUCUGGUACCCAUUUGUGUCAUUUUUAUGUGGCCAAACCUAACUUUGUGGUUUCAUCAUGACAGGCUUUAGUUUGCAGUAGAGAUCUUGUGGCUCAGGAGCCUGAAGAGUUUACUACUCAGCUCUGUGAAUCUUCUUUAAGAUGAUCUUUGAGAAUACCUUUCCAUGUCGUCCUUAAAGCAAGCUAUUGUCAUCCAUUGCUAGCAUUCAGAUUCUCAAGACAAGUAUGUCAUGAGAAAUGAACCUGCAAAGACUACCUGCUUUCUUACCACACUCAUUUCUCCUCACCACUUGUGCCUGCUGAAGGCACAAGAAGUUAAGGACAGUUUCUGACCUCAAAUCAGAUUUUACCAUUUUAGGGAUGUAACCUUGAAUGGAUGGUGGUGUUUUAAUUUCUUCCGCUGUAAGUUACCUAUUUUGUUGGCUUUUUGAACAUCAAUGGGUAUAUGUGUCUGAUACUCGUAAUGCUUAGUAGUAUCAGGUAUGAGAAGGACAACAGUUACAGAAGACGCUACUAUAAUCCAUUCAUAGGAAAUACAGAGGGCUGCCAAAUGCAAAGUGAGAGUAUCAACUUUGUUCUAGCCUGUCUGUAGCCUAGAAGGCCUUAAUAUAAAUGUCGGAGGGAAGUUCUCUCAAUAAUUCAGGAUGGUGCUCCAACAGGCCACAAGGGGAGAAAUGGCAGGAGUUAAAGCUGAAAGCAUGCUGAGGGCCAGGUGUGAAUGACAUCAAGACAUUUAAGGACUUUGCUUUAAGAACAAUGGUAACUCACUAAUACAGCAAACCACAUAUGUUGCAUUUUUGAAAUUUCAGUUUGGCUGUCAGGUAGAAAACAUGAAAUUUAAGUAGAUAAAAAGCAUGUGGACCAUUAGAAGGUUUUGAUGUUUAAAACGUCAUCAAUUAGGUAAGUGCUUGUGAGGAUGAAAGUGAGGAGUGACACAUGGACGGGUCUUCUGAGGAGGACGGUGAUAUUUAAAUGUUUUCCAAAGCUGAAGAGGAGGAAUUCAUGACGCCUCUCUUGGUUUCUAUUUUCCAGUUGGUGUUCUUUAUAUAAAGUGGGGACAUUUGCUGUUUAAUGAGGAACAACUUCAGAAGAUGCAGAGUGAGUUUUGAUGGGAAAGAGACUCUUCAUGGGCUACUCUAGAACAAACAAUGGAAACGGAUCACAGGAAAGAAUGAAGGACAUGGUUCAUGUCUGAUUCAGGUGAUUUCUACAAACAGUUCCAGGAGCUUUCUCCAUUCUCCCAGUUGAGAUUGGCAUUAUGCUUAGAGAAGAAAAAGCGUCUCAAAAGAAAACUAGUCACUCUUGAGGUAGAAUUGCCUCACCUGAAGAGGGAGGAGGUAUUUUUCCUUUUCUCUGAGUCAAGAACUCAUGAUCACCAUCACCCAACCCUGCUCACACACACCCUGACCACCACGGGUCUCUAGGCACUUUAAAUUCUAUGAUUUAUAUGAACUCUUACAGGGACGCAGCUGUUCUCCUGGGCAUAUUCACAACACGUUUUUCCACCCACUCACCUCCCAAGGUGGGUUCUUAAGCAAGUAGCAAAAUGAGGUGUGGGCACUGACACAAAGACCAAUGAGGCAUUUUAAGAGAAGUUAAAUUCAGGAAGCUUUAGGGAAACAAACAAAAAUAAAUUUUAAGAAAUCUGUUUGCAUGGAAAGAUAAAACAAUAAUAGAAUGAGAGAGAGAGAGAGAGAGAGA